rnacentral:rRNA from 1 species
GUUGUAUGGUUAAGUGACUAAGCGUACACGGUGGAUGCCUUGGCAGUCAGAGGCGAUGAAAGACGUAGUAACUUGCGAUAAGCCCAGAUUAGGUAGUAACAACCAUUUGAGUCUGGGAUUUCUGAAUGGGGAAACCCACGUGCAUAAGCACGUAUCCUUACCUGAAUACAUAGGGUAAGGAGGCGAACCGGGGGAACUGAAACAUCUAAGUACCCCGAGGAAAAGAAAUCAACCGAGAUUCCGAAAGUAGCGGCGAGCGAAAUUGGACUAGCCCUUAAGCUUUACACGCGUUAGACGAACGGUCUGGGAAGUCCGACGAUACAGGGUGAUAGUCCCGUAGUUGACGACGUGUGUUCAGUGAAAUCGAGUAGGGCGGGACACGUGAUAUCCUGUCUGAAUAUGGGGGGACCAUCCUCCAAGGCUAAAUACUACUGACUGACCGAUAGUGAACCAGUACCGUGAGGGAAAGGCGAAAAGAACCCCUGUGAGGGGAGUGAAAUAGAACCUGAAACCGUGUACGUACAAGCAGUAGGAGCAGGCUUUGUCCUGUGACUGCGUACCUUUUGUAUAAUGGGUCAGCGACUUAUAUUCAGUGGCAAGGUUAACCAUCUAGGGGAGCCGUAGGGAAACCGAGUCUUAACUGGGCGUUCAGUCUCUGGAUAUAGACCCGAAACCAGGUGAUCUAGCCAUGGGCAGGUUGAAGGUUGAGUAACAUCAACUGGAGGACCGAACCGACUAAUGUUGAAAAAUUAGCGGAUGACUUGUGGCUAGGGGUGAAAGGCCAAUCAAACCUGGAGAUAGCUGGUUCUCCCCGAAAGCUAUUUAGGUAGCGCCUCGGACGAAUACUACUGGGGGUAGAGCACUGUUAAGGCUAGGGGGUCAUCCCGACUUACCAACCCUUUGCAAACUCCGAAUACCAGUAAGUACUAUCCGGGAGACACACGGCGGGUGCUAACGUCCGUCGUGGAGAGGGAAACAACCCAGACCGCCAGCUAAGGUCCCAAAUUACUACUAAGUGGGAAACGAUGUGGGAAGGCUCAGACAGCCAGGAUGUUGGCUUAGAAGCAGCCAUCAUUUAAAGAAAGCGUAAUAGCUCACUGGUCGAGUCGGCCUGCGCGGAAGAUGUAACGGGGCUAAGUAGUAAACCGAAGCUGCGGCAAUAUACUUUUGUAUAUUGGGUAGGGGAGCGUUCUGUAAGCGGUUGAAGGUGUGUGGUAACGCAUGCUGGACGUAUCAGAAGUGCGAAUGCUGACAUGAGUAACGAUAAAGGGGGUGAAAAACCUCCUCGCCGGAAGACCAAGGGUUCCUGUCCAACGUUAAUCGGGGCAGGGUAAGUCGACCCCUAAGGCGAGGCCGAAAGGCGUAGUCGAUGGGAAACGGGUUAAUAUUCCCGUACUUCUUACAAUUGCGAUGGGGGGACGGAGAAGGCUAGGUGGGCCUGGCGACGGUUGUCCAGGUUCAAGUGCGUAGGCUUAAGAGUUAGGUAAAUCCGGCUCUUUCUAAGGCUGAGACACGACGUCGAGCAUCUACGGAUGUGAAGUCAUUGAUGCCAUGCUUCCAGGAAAAGCCUCUAAGCUUCAGAUUGUAAGGAAUCGUACCCCAAACCGACACAGGUGGUCGGGUAGAGAAUACCAAGGCGCUUGAGAGAACUCGGGUGAAGGAACUAGGCAAAAUGGUACCGUAACUUCGGGAGAAGGUACGCUCUUGAUGGUGAAGUCCCUCGCGGAUGGAGCUGACGAGAGUCGCAGAUACCAGGUGGCUGCAACUGUUUAUUAAAAACACAGCACUGUGCAAAAUCGUAAGAUGACGUAUACGGUGUGACGCCUGCCCGGUGCCGGAAGGUUAAUUGAUGGGGUUAGACUUCGGUCGAAGCUCUUGAUCGAAGCCCCGGUAAACGGCGGCCGUAACUAUAACGGUCCUAAGGUAGCGAAAUUCCUUGUCGGGUAAGUUCCGACCUGCACGAAUGGCGUAAUGAUGGCCACGCUGUCUCCACCCGAGACUCAGUGAAAUUGAAAUCGCUGUGAAGAUGCAGUGUACCCGCGGCUAGACGGAAAGACCCCGUGAACCUUUACUACUGGCACUGAACAUUGACCCUACAUGUGUAGGAUAGGUGGGAGGCUUUGAAGCACGUACGCCAGUAUGUGUGGAGCCGUCCUUGAAAUACCACCCUUGUAGUGUUGAUGUUCUAACGUCGACCCCUUAUCGGGGUUGCGGACAGUGCCUGGUGGGUAGUUUGACUGGGGCGGUCUCCUCCCAAAGAGUAACGGAGGAGCACGAAGGUGGGCUAAUCACGGUUGGACAUCGUGAGGUUAGUGCAAUGGCAUAAGCCCGCUUGACUGCGAGAAUGACAAUUCGAGCAGGUGCGAAAGCAGGUCAUAGUGAUCCGGUGGUUCUGAAUGGAAGGGCCAUCGCUCAACGGAUAAAAGGUACUCCGGGGAUAACAGGCUGAUACCGCCCAAGAGUUCAUAUCGACGGCGGUGUUUGGCACCUCGAUGUCGGCUCAUCACAUCCUGGGGCUGAAGUCGGUCCCAAGGGUAUGGCUGUUCGCCAUUUAAAGUGGUACGCGAGCUGGGUUUAGAACGUCGUGAGACAGUUCGGUCCCUAUCUGCCGUGGGCGUUGGAAGAUUGAAGGGGGCUGCUCCUAGUACGAGAGGACCGGAGUGGACGAACCUCUGGUGUUCGGGUUGUGUCGCCAGACGCAUUGCCCGGUAGCUAAGUUCGGAAUCGAUAACCGCUGAAAGCAUCUAAGCGGGAAGCGAGCCCUGAGAUGAGUCUUCCCUGAUACUUUAAGUAUCCUAAAGGGUUGUCGGAGACUACGACGUUGAUAGGUCAGGUGUGUAAGUGCUGUGAGGCAUUGAGCUAACUGAUACUAAUUGCCCGUGAGGCUUAACCAUACAACACCCAAGGGGUUU